UUACGAAAAGUAAUUUACUGCAUAAGAUAUUAACAUAAUGCACAUAUAUGCUUAAUAAUCUUAAUCUCAGUUGCUCAGGUGCACAGAUUGCAUAAAAGUGCUGUAUAAUUAUAUAUUAUAUAUCAUCACUUUUACUUCCUAUUGACACAUUUAAUAAUCUGUUAUUUUCUAUUAGGCAGAAGAACGUCAAUCACAGUACAUAAGGUAUUCCCUAAUAAACAUGCGUCAAUGGAAAUACUCAUAUAAUGAACAACAAGCCAUCACAGUCAGUUGAAAACAUUAACCAAAUUUAUUAUUAUUAUUAUUGGAAUAUGACGUGUGUGUGCGCAAUUGUGGAUGUCCAGAGUACAAACUAUUGAUUUAUCCAGAGACAAAUUUUGAAACACCCAAAUCAAUAUUUUAUAAUAAAAUAACAUAGACACUAAUAAUUUUAAUCAAGAACGCAAUUCAAUUUUAUGGAAUCAUAAAACCGAAUAAUUAACAUAUAACAUAUUUGAGUUCUAAGGUGAAUCGAUUUCAAAACCCUGCUCUGAUACCAAU
rnacentral:lncRNA from 1 species